rnacentral:sRNA from 1 species
UGAUUUGAUUUAUCCAAUGAGAAAUGCC